CUCUUUGGUGAUUUGGCUUGUAUGACUGACGUGAAUCAUAAAGCUAGGUUACCAAAGCU
rnacentral:pre_miRNA from 1 species